rnacentral:rRNA from 1 species
CGAGAGAGAAAAAAACGCAGCGAUACAUCCAUCAACUGCGAUCGCCUGUUUCUCUUCUCUCGAUUCCCCAAGCCAAAGCUAGCCGCCGCCGACUCCCCAACCCCGGCCUCCACUCCAUCGCCGGCGGCCUCUCCCCCUUUCUCCCUGGACGCAUAUCCACUUGAGCAGCACAGCCUACGGUCAGAUCUGCCCCUCCGUCCUCGCGCCAGAAACCCUAGUCGUCCGGCCAUGGUGACCGACCGCAGGCACAUACCUCGACGACGGUGGCGCCACGGAGCGGAGCUUCCUCUGCCCGGGACGCCGCUCAUGUGCUCGUCAAGGUCCGCUGCUCCUUCCUCCAGUCCCAGUCCCAGGAUAAGCAGCAGUAGCAUGAAGGCUAUUCAAGCAGGAGUAUGUGUAGACAUAUUUGCUGUAACUGAUGAAUACACCGAUUUGGCUUCGUCGAAGUUUUAA